GAGGGUAUAGCUCAGUGGUGGAGCACAUGCUUAGUUAGCAUGCACGAGGUUCUGGGUUCAAUCCCCCAUACCUCCA
rfam:Camelus ferus unplaced genomic scaffold scaffold852, whole genome shotgun sequence.